GCAUUCAUGGGGUAGUGGUAACCUGGGUCGUUGCCACAGCGCUAUUAGAGUCGACCCGCCGGGAGUUCGAUUCUCUCUUAAUGCA